CCACGAGAGUGGAGUGGAGGCCUGAACUCUUUAAUAUUGCAAAAUUAUGAGAUGACUUGUGGUUAGCGGUAACAUGCCAAACGAACUUGGUAAUAGCUGGUUCUCCCCGAAAUAGCUUUAGGGCUAGCGUCAUAAUUUAAGUAGUGGGGGUAGAGCACUAAUUGGAUUCGAGGCUCGAAAGAGUACUCGAUCUAGUUAAACUCCGAAUACCAUUGCGAAUAUUAUGGCAGUUAGAGCUAGGGAGCUAAGUUCCUAUGCUCGAAAGGGAAACAGCCCAGAUCGUCAGAUAAGGACCCCAAAUUCUACCUUAGUGGAAAAGGAGGUGGAGUUUCUCGGACAGCUAGGAGGUUGGCUUAGAGGCAGCCAUCCUUUAAAAAAUGCGUAAAAGCUUACUAGUCAAGAGAUUCUGUACUUAAAAUUUAACGGGGCUGAAGGUAGAUUCCGAAGCUGCGAUCUUAUCCCGCUAACUUAUAGUGUGAGAUGUGUUCUGCUAUUUACCAGAUAGCAGACUUUCGCACUACAGGUUAGCGGGAUGGGAGGUAGGGGAGCGUUCUAUACAUGACCAGAUUAGCAUCUGGUAAAUAGCUGUGAAGGUGGCCCGUAAGGAGCUGCUGGAGCGUAUAGAAGUGAGAAUGCUGGGAUGAGUAACGAAAAACGGGUGAAAACCCCGUUCGCCGAAUGUCUAAGGUUUCCAUGGCUAUGUCAGUCAACCAUGGGUUAGUCGGUCCUAAGCGGAGGCUGAAAAGCGUACGCGAUGGACAACAGGUUAAUAUUCCUGUACUACUAACAUCUGAGAUGGAGUGCGAAGAUUGAGAAUGCAGGCCCCUUAAUGGUUUGGGGUGUAAACAACGAGAUAGCCUCUCCAGGAAAAUCCGGAGAGGUGUUUCCCGCUUGCGGGAUGAAUGCGAGUUGUGAUGCAAAGGUGACCUUCGGGAAUCCGAUCUGUUGUAUUAAUCUUCCAGGAAAAACUUCUAUCAUUAGUUACCUCGGUAACUAUAAUGAUGUUUGUAACCGUACUGCAAUCCGACACAGGUAGACAGGUGUAAAAGCACCAAGGCGUACGAGUGAUGCGUUGUUAAGGAAUUCGGCAAAUUAACCUCGUAAGUUCGCGAGAAGAGGGACUUUCCACCAUGAGUAUUUUUUAUUUGUGGUGAUGAAAGUCGCAGAGAAUAGGGAGGGACGACUAGUUACCAAAACUACAGGCGCUUGCAAACUCGUAAGAGGAUGUAUAAGUGCUGACGCCUGCCCAAUGCCAGAAGGUUAAGGUUACGGGUUAACCGUCUGCUGGGUGCACUUCGGUGCCCUGGUGGUGGUGAAGCUUGUAGCUGAAGCCCUGGUCAAUGGCGGCUGUAACUAUGAACCAGUACUAAAGUUUAGUACUAUUGUAGUUGUAAAAUUUGGCUAUAUGCUGGAAUAUCUGAGUAUCUCUAAUUACUCAUCAAUUCUUUAAAUCGUAAUAGAUUUGUAAGAAUUGGUAGUUAAAAUAUUAGAGUGCAGACAAUCAGCAGGAAAGGCUUGUAUAUUGAUACAAGAAUCCCCAGAGACUAUACGCCAAAACCCACAAUCUAGCAGAGAGUGGGGAUGAGAUAGUCCGAUCUGUAUGGCGACAUGCAGAGAUACAUAGAAAUAUGUAUCCGAUUUAUCUUUUUAGAUAAAUUUGUAACAGAAAUGAACGGUGGUAGAUAUAUAUCUACUAAAGUAUUUUAUACUUUAUAACAAACAUUCCUAUGUUUGAAGAGAUAGUCCGACCUCUACAGUAAUGUAGAGACCAUCUAAUAUUAGAUGGCGCCAACACAUAUUUGUAUUACAUAUGUAAUUGGUUAAUAAGUAACAGAAUGCCUAAGGUAGCGUAAUACCUCGUCACUUAAUUAGUGACUUGCAUGAAAGGCGUAACGAUCCUUCCACUGUCUCGACAGCGCGCUCGGUGAAAUUGAAAUGGCUGUGAAGAUGCGGCCUACCUAUACCAGGACAAAAAGACCCCGUGGAGCUUUACUUCAGCUUUGCAUUGGAAUAAAUUCUUGGAUGUACAGAAUAUGUGGGAGACUUUGAAAUCAUCUCGUCAGGGAUGGUGGAGUCGUCAGUGUAAUACCACUCUUUUGAGGCUUUAUUUCUAACAGGAUCCAUUAACUGGAUUCUAGACAGUGCAUGGUGGGAAGUUUGACUGGGGCGGUUGCUUGCUAAAGAGUACCGCAAGCGCACAAAGGUCUCCUCAACCCGGAUGGAAAUCGGGUGAAGAGUGCAUAAGCAUAAGGAGGCUUUACUGUGAGAGGGACACCUCGAGCAGUUACGAAAGUAGGUUUAAGUGACCCUUUGGUUGCGCGUGGAAGCGCCAUUGUUUAACGGAGAUAAGCUACCCCGGGGAUAACAGGCUAGUCUUGCCCGAUAGUUCAUAUUGACGGCAAGGUUCGGCACCUCGAUGUCGGCUCGUCGCAUCCUGGGGCUGGAGAAGGCCCCAAGGGUUGGACUGUUCGUCCAUUAAAGCGGCACGUGAGCUGGGUUCAGACCGUCGUGAGCCAGGUCGGUCUCUAUCCGGUAUAGGCGUAGUAUAUUUGAGGGAAUCGACCCUUAGUACGAAAGGAUCAGGGUGUGGUAACCUCUAGUGCAUCAGCUGUUCUACCAAGAGCAUUGCUGAGUAGCUAUGUUGUUUUUGGAUAAGUACUGAAAGCAUAUAAGUACGAAACCAUCCCCAAGAUUAAAUAUACCUGUCCCGCUAACUUAUAGUGUGAGAGCAUUUUAGAUUGUUUUCGCGCUCUAUGCUAGCGGGACUAAAGGUCCGUGGGAGAUUACCACGUUGAUAGGCUCUAGGU
rnacentral:rRNA from 1 species